rnacentral:lncRNA from 1 species
AUCCAUUAAAAUUCAUUAUCUAUUUUUUUUUUUUUUGAAAAAUGCUAAUCUUUUAACAAAAAACAAAUACGGUAGUCUUCCUUUUUGAACCCAGUACUCUUCCUUCAACGAUUCUUCUUCUUCACCGCAAACCCUUCUUCUUCCUUUGGCUGAGCACCCUCGCUCCAUCCCCUCUUCCAUCGAUUGAACCCAGAAACUCUUCCAUCGUCAAUUACCCUCUCUCACAAACCCUUCUUCUCUUCCACCGUCACUCACGAACUCGUUGAAACCCUAAAUCGCACAAACUCUCCAUCAAUUGAACUCAGAACAAGUUCAAACCCUAAACAAAAAUCGAUUGAUGUCAGAGUUCACCAUGAUCCAUCAUUCCCGAGCUCGUUGAACUGUUAAUAAACCCAUAAACUCUUCAUUGUUCACCAUCGUUCAUUGCAAUUGAAACUCCUUCUACUCGGACGCUCCAAAAGUUGAUUUUUCUUGUCUAACUCUGUAAGUUUAACAUUUCUCAUUUAAUUUUUAACUGCAAAAUUUCCCCUGCUAGUUGUGUCUACAUGGAUGGGUUUCUUAUCUACUUGGUACGUACUUUGAUGUUUGUGUUUGGUAUUUUUAUUUUUACUAGACCUUGGAUUCUAGAUUGCUACAGUGGUAAUUUGUGUUUCAAGCAUUGAUCAUCCCUUAAUUUGUUUCUGUAUUGAUAUAUAAACAUUACUAAGGUUCAUUGAUUGGAAGUGAAGAAUAUACUCUUGUUUAUGAGAAUAAUGAAAGAGACAAGAUGCUUGUAGGGGACCUGCCGUGGUGGUAAGUAUGUUAUCAAUGUGAAUCUGAUUUUUCAUCUUUUGAUGUUAUUUUAACUUAAUGAUAUUUUAUGCCUCAAACUAAAUUGAACUUUAUUAAUAUUUUAGUUAGGGAUUUUUAAUAUUCCUUCAAUUCGUAAGUUCAGGACAUUUUCUCAUGGGGAAAACUUGCCAUUCUCAAGCAUGGUUUAUCUAUUUAUGGGUUCCAAAUGUCAUUGUUGCUAAGAAGUAAGAAAACAGAAAAUUCACCUCAAGCAUUAGUGAAAGAAGCAAUUGUUGAUGAGAGAUUUGAGGUAUCUCUUUUUUCAAUCAUCUUGUGUGCACACAUUAUUUGGAUGUAAGUUGAACAUCUUAUUGAGAAUUUUAUUGUUACUGACACAACAUGAUUAAUUUGGAGUUAAGUGUCUUAAUAUUUAAGUAAGUAGAUUGAAAAUUAUGUACUUGUUUGCUUGCACUUGCACAUUAUUGCCCUCAACUUUUAUAAACUUCAUAGGUUGAUGUUGCUCCUAUAAAAUAUGUGUUUUGACAUGCUUUAGUUCCCUUUCAUAAUUUGAACAUCUUGAAAUAGUUUGGUUGUUCCAAUUUAUUGUGUGGUUCUCAUUCUUAGGUGACUGGUUGUUCCAAUGAUUAAAUAUCAUUAUGUGAAGUAGUAGUAUAGUAAAAUAUCAUGUUUAACAUUGAUUCUUUCAAUUGUCAUCAAUACUAGCCAUGUUUUUGGGGUUUUAUUGUCAUCUUUCUUUUAAAAGGUAAUGCUUAUAUUACUUGUGCUUGCAUUUGUUUCAGAAAACUUGAUUUGGAUAUAGAGGAACAAUGUAAGGGAAUCAUCAUAUAGGUUCAUUAUUCUUUCUCUAAAGUGUAUAGAAUUUUUCUCUUCACACUAGGAUAUUUAACCACAAAAACCAGUAUGGUAUAAGAGAAAACAAGCAAUAUUACAUGAUGAUAUUAUGAGACUAAUCUAAGCUUAAGUUUUUUGUUCUUUUUGUUCAGGUACCAUUACAAUAUUACUGAUAUGCAAUUGUCCCAACAGACUGCGAAGAUGGGAUAUUUAUCAGCAGUGUAGCUUGUUGUUCUACUAAAAUUUGGCCAAUGGAUUCAGUGGACAAGUUUAUGAACUCUCAUCCUUCUUUCUUGACAUGGGUGUGUUUUUUAUUUUGUUCAAGAUUUAGUAAUUGUAUUAUUUUCUUGGUUAUGUGUGUGUUUUAGAAUGGCAAUUAGUUAGUAGUUAGUUACUUACUCUCUAUAUAAGUGAUACUACCCCUUAGUUAGUUUGUAAAUUUGUUCUUGUAUAAUUUGAGUCAGGCAAAAUAACUUACUUUUGGAUAUGUGGUUGCCAGAUGCUGGGCUACUGUUUUUUUUUUUUUUUCUUUUUGUAAACAAAAUGUUGUUUGCCUCAGGUUUAGUUGAGGCAAAAAUACAUUAGUUUUUUUAAUUUAAAGACUUCUUCUUAAGUCGGUUAAUAGUUGAACAGACUUAAAAAGUCGUUUUCUUAAGACUGC